UAAUACGGAGGAUGCAAGCGUUAUCCGGAUUCAUUGGGUUUAAAGGGUGCGUAGGCGGACUUGUAAGUCAGGGGUGAAAUCCGGCAGCUCAACUGUCGAACUGCCUCUGAUACUGCAGGUCUUGAGUCAACAUGAAGCAGGCGGAAUAUGGCAUGUAGCGGUGAAAUGCAUAGAUAUGCCAUAGAACACCGAUAGCGAAGGCAGCCUGCUAAAGUUGUACUGACGCUGAUGCACGAAAGCGUGGGUAGCGAACAGGAUUAGAUACCCUGGUAGUCCACGCCGUAAACGAUGAUCACUCGCUGCAUGCGAUAGACAGUAUGUGGCCAAGCGAAAGCGUUAAGUGAUCCACCUGGGGAAUACGAUCGCAAGGUUG
rnacentral:rRNA from 1 species